rnacentral:rRNA from 1 species
AGUGAACGCUGGCGGUAGGCCUAACACAUGCAAGUCGAACGGCAGCACAGUAAGAGCUUGCUCUUACGGGUGGCGAGUGGCGGACGGGUGAGGGAUACAUCGGAAUCUACUUUUUCGUGGGGGAUAACGUAGGGAAACUUACGCUAAUAUCGCAUACGACCUACGGGUGAAAUCAGGGGAUCUUCGGACCUUGCGCGAUUUGAUGAGCCGAUGGCGGAUUAGCUAGUUGGCGGGGUACAGGCCCACCAAGGCGACGAGGGGUAGCUGGCCUGAGAGGGUGUACGGCGACAUUGGGCUUGAGAGAGGGCCCAGACUCGGACGUGAGGCAGCAGUGGUGAAUAUUGCACAAUGGGCGCAAGCCUGAGGCAGCGACGCCGCGUGGGGGAUGACGGCUUUUGGGUUGUAAACUCCUUUCGCAACCGACGAAGCCUUUUGGUGACGGUAGGUUGAGAAGAAGCACCGGCUAACUACGUG